UGGGGGAUAUUGCACAAUGGGGGGAACCCUGAUGCAGCGACGCCGCGUGAGUGAAGGAGUACUCCGGUAUGUAAAGCUCUAUCAGCAGGGAAGAAGCAAGACGGUACCUGACCAAGAAGCCCCGGCUAACUACGUGCCAGCAGCCGCGGUAAUACGUAGGGGGCGAGCGUUAUCCGGAUUCACUGGGUGUAAAGGGAGCGUAGACGGCCGAUCAAGUCUGGAGUGAAAGCCCGGGGCCCAACCCCGGGACUGCUCUGGAAACUGGUGGGCUAGAGUGCUGGAGAGGUAAGUGGAAUUCCUAGU
rnacentral:rRNA from 1 species